AGAGUUUGAUCAUGGCUCAGAUUGAACGCUGGCGGCAUGCCUAACACAUGCAAGUCGAACGGUAACAGGCGGAGCUUGCUCUGCGCUGACGAGUGGCGGACGGGUGAGUAAUGCUUAGGAAUCUGCCCAGUAGCGGGGGACAACAGUCGGAAACGGUUGCUAAUACCGCAUACGCCCUACGGGGGAAAGCAGGGGAUCUUCGGACCUUGCACUAUUGGAUGAGCCUAAGUCAGAUUAGCUUGUUGGUGGGGUAAAAGCCUACCAAGGCGACGAUCUGUAGCUGGUCUGAGAGGACGAUCAGCCACACUGGAACUGAGACACGGUCCAGACUCCUACGGGAGGCAGCAGUGGGGAAUAUUGCACAAUGGGCGCAAGCCUGAUGCAGCAAUGCCGCGUGUGUGAAGAAGGCCUGCGGGUUGUAAAGCACUUUCAGUAAGGAGGAAAAUCUCAAGGUUAAUACCCUCGAGGCUUGACGUUACUUACAGAAGAAGCACCGGCUAACUCCGUGCCAGCAGCCGCGGUAAUACGGAGGGUGCGAGCGUUAAUCGGAAUUACUGGGCGUAAAGGGUGCGUAGGCGGCAUGGUCAGUCGGAUGUGAAAGCCCCGGGCUCAACCUGGGAAUUGCAUUCGAUACUGCCAAGCUAGAGUAUGUUAGAGGAAAGUGGAAUUCCCGGUGUAGCGGUGAAAUG
rnacentral:rRNA from 1 species